GGAACCUAUGACGACAGAUAUUUGCCGUGCUCUGCAACCUGAUACAGGUUGUCAAGUCCAGGCACUGAUAGUUCAUGGAGAAAAGAUGAGGAAGGCUGAGCAUCUCACAAAGAACUGGAUCCUACCUGUGCUCAGCACUGGCUCCUGUCUGGGCUCUAAGAAAUGAUGUAGCAUGGCCCCCUCCAUCCUCUCACUGGGCACAAAUAAGUGGAUGGGGAUUGAAGAGGAAUGGUGAUCUGUGAAUUCUUGCACCUGUAUUUAUGGCAUACUGAAGAUACAGCUAGAGCAUUCAGGAGGUGCUGUGAAAGCUGCCAAUGAGAACACAGGGAUGUGUAUAAAGAUUAAAACUUACAUGACAACAAUCCACGUGCCAAGUGAGCUACAGGAUUUCUGCCCAAUAUCUCUGUUCAGAGGUAACAAAAUGCAAUGGCUGCGUGACUAAGAAAUGCCAAGAUUUAGGAUAAAUCUUGCAGUCAAAAUGAGAGAUAAAAUCCUGAAACUAUGCUUCUUGUCUGGGACAUAGGAAUCUUCAGGAAGGAAGGUACAACAAAGGAAGGAUUUGAAACCCAUGGAAAAGAUGCUUUGCUGAUGAACUAAAACCCGACACAUACUACAUUGUCACAUCAUCAGCUUUGUACAGCUACCAACGGCAGCAGAAGCUCACACUGAGGCAAGAUUCGUAAUUCUUCUAGGCAGAUCAUUGGCAACAUUUAUUCAAUCAGAACAAGAUCUGUGUAAGUAUGAAAUUUUAAACACACAAAAUUAAUGCCUUGAGAUCAUUAUAUGAAUAUAUAAAACACAGAAUUUAAAAAUAAGUGCUAUCUUGGCCAGUGACAGAAGCCCUCAGUUGUAUUGUGGGAUGCAGAAUGGUAUAAGCAGUAUAGACAAAGCAUGAUGGGGCAAUAGAUCACAGUAAUAACAUUUGCAAUAAACAAUAACAGAACAAAGCAGACAUCUAAAAAAAUCCCAUGAGGAAUUUGGCUUAUCCAUAAUUUUUCUUUACAUUUGAGAAGCUGUGUCAGGAAAACCAUUACAGCCAAUGGCACCAAUUAAUUUCUGCAACUUUUAAUGACAAGUUUCUAGGUAAAAACCUCAGAUAAUACCCUAGGCUCAUGAUUGAUAGAAGCCUGUGUUUGAUUUGUACCAGACUGUUGAUUUUUUUAGUAUUUUUAAAGAGUCCCAGUGCAGCCAAUCAAGCAAUCAACAUGAAAUACUCAGAUCUUCUCUUGUAAAGUACAAGAAAACAGAAAGACAAUGGGACUUCCUUCAUAAAGUUGACAGAAUAUUGGUGAUUUUAUUUUAGUAGCUCUCCAGAUGAUGGAUGACCCAAAUUUUUAUUCCAGAAGCAAAUGAUAGUAAAAAAGAAACCCUUGAUUCUCUUGCCAUUCUGGAUAUUAUUUUACAUCUAGAAGGGCUGUUGAAAUGCAGAGGAGAUAAAAAUAAUUGAUUUUGAGGGGUGAAACAUCAGAGUAAAUUGAUUUGAUGUUUGGUUUUCUGGUUUUCAGCUAACCAAUAGGUUUUAAGCAUAUAAAAAAAUCCAGCUUGGAUUUUCUCAUUUCUCUCUCAUACAUAAACGUGGAGAAUUUAGCAAAUGUGAACAUAAUUCCCUAUUAUUUUUCAGAAGUGUUCAUCAAUGUCAUUCUCUUAUACUUUGAAAUCAGUUAUAGAAUUAAACACAGAGAUAGGUGCAUCUUUGCUGUCUAGUGAGCUUUGUACACCCGUUGCAACAGAUUCUUAUAUCCCCUUAUCUGUCACAGGAAGACAUCUAUAAGUCUGUGAUAUUGAAAUUACUUAUUUAACUCUCUCAGUGAAAACGUGGAAAAUCACGUGUUCAUUAAUCAAUUCCACGGUGCAGCUGAGUGUGCAGGAGAAGUGUUUGUGUGUGUACCCCUUGCUACUCAUGUGAGUGCUGGGGGUGAUGCCUAGAUACCGCAGCUUUCAGUGCGAACAAGAACAGAGAGAGAGUGGCGGGGGCUGGUUUUCUUAGCUACCUGCCUGGCAGUGAGUGCUGUAAUCAGCCCUUGCUGUUCUCAUGGAUAGCACAGUGACAGGGCCGACAGGCCUGUGAAAUCUGGUUUAUCGCACUGGCGUGGCCACGUCCUGCUGGGGCACGGGAACAGCAAACCCACAGCCACAGAGCUCCUACCUUGUCAGAGAGCCUGUGGAAGGCAGACUGCCCAUGUCUAAGGCCUCUGAUGGAAGCUUGGAUGCAUAUCCCUCAACUGCUCAGGCACUUCCUGGAGUCUCCAUGGUGACCUGUCUGUAGCUGCUGGUGCCUGCCUCCACAUGCCUCCUAAAUUCCCGCAGAUCUGAUGUAUGUCUUCACAUUCUCUGGAAAAUACACCAUAGGAUGACCCCUCUGAAACUUAGCUCUCAGGACAGCCUCACAGUAACUUUUCCAGCCAUUUACUCAGUUUAAUGUCUGAAACCUGUGGCUUUGACACUUGGUGAUUGUCAACUGCAGGUAAAUAUGCAACAAGAGCAUGAGACUCACUCAUGAAGCUUCCUUGGAGGUCUCCAAUAACACUCAUUUAAUUGAUUUAUUUUUAAUAGUUUCUGAAUGCUGAAAAGUUUUGAAAUACUAUAAGUAAGAAGACAUGUAACAUGAGCAGCAAAUAAAAGUGUGCAGUAAUGAUCAUUGGGGCAUUGUACUUUUCAAGAUUAGUACUGAUACUGCUACCUUACUACUGAGAGAGUGUUUAUUUUAUUUCCCUCUCACUGCUGAUUAAGAUCUCAGACUUCAUGUACAAAUGGUAAGAAACUGUUUAGCUAAGCCCUCUCAUCUGGACUGCCAGGAAGGAUCAUACCAGCUCAAAGAAAAGGGCAGUUCUACCAAAUUUUGUACAGGAUGGGGAGUUCAGAACUGCAAAUCCUAUUAAAUUAAUAUAUCUCCUUGCAUCUAAGCCUUGCAUGCAUAGUAGUAGAAUAACUCCUUUUUAAAAGACUCCUCUGCCACAUUAAACUGAUUUUAAUAAGUAUGCCCAAGCUCUUGGAAAUCAAAAUAACUCUCCCUAAAAAAGGUGAUUUCCUGUUACAGUGUUUGUUCAUAUUAUUUUUUUUUUGUUUGUUUAUCAGUCCCUCCCUGCCUUAAACAGUUACAGUCUUCCCUCCAAAAACAAGCAGAUUGUUUCAUUUCCUUUGGACAAAAACAUUUUCCAUUGAAGCCUUUCUUUAAUACUUCUUUCAUUACAUUUCCUUGUUGUAUUAUCAAUUACAGGGGUAACAUCUGCUAUCAGUGGCUAAAAUAAAACUGUCGUAUAGCUAUGAUUGUAUUUGAGGUUAAACUCUCAUAAUAUGUCUUCUAGAAAAGUUUUCAGGUUCUUCUUUUCCCAAGCAUUGUCCUUUUCAAUUCCUUAGUGCUUUCUCUUUGAAGAAUAAUUAUUUCCCAUAGAAAAGCAGUAUCUGCUCUCAAGCAUAUCAGAUAUGAUAAAUUCAAAAGCUUCAAGUAUUAAUAAAUAAUCAUGUUUAAUUUUAUUGUCAGUGUUAUGCAAAAGAAUACCCAAGGAACAGCACUUCUGAUAUUAAUUACUGUUUAAUGACCAGGAAAGAGAUUCUGGGAAAAGUGCCACUAGAUUUUGGAUACAGGCAUCCUAUUUUUCUUUCUUGUUGCCUUUGUGGCAGGUACUGGGAAUACUCAAACUAAAAAAUUAAAUAUGUCACAGAUGACUCAAGUAAACCUGCAUUUGUUUUGUGAAAAGAUGAGUGUUCUAUCCCAGACCCUAAUUCAGUAGAUUUAUCAGCUACAAUUACAGUGCUUUGAUCACUCCAGAAUAGGUGGUGUAGUGUGGGGUGUAGCUGUCCUUUUCCAAUUCACUCUCCUUAUCAGGAUACAUGUCUGUUGAUUUGUGGGAAGCUGGCUGUUUUUCGUUCCUGACAAACUCCAGUGAUUAAAAUGUAGUGGCUUGCUCUUGUUCCCCUGAUAAAGGUGACAGCUGCAGAGUUUCCAGUGUUAGUGGAUAUGGUCCAUGCAGAUUGCUUUUUAAUGAAAGCAAUAUAUUAUCUUACCUAGAGGCCCUGCAGCCUUACCUUGUUAAUGCAUUCUAGCUUGGCACCACAUUCAUCUAUAAAUUAGUCGUAUUAAACAUGCUUCUUACUAUUUAUUCAGUCUCUAAAGAGUUGUGGUUCUUUUGGUUGGGGUUUUUGGUUUUUUGGGGCUUUUUUUUUAGUUUAUUUUGUAACUUUGCUUCAUACCUCUUCCAGCAGCACCAUCAUACACACAAUGAACAGUGGCAUAGAGUUUUCAGAGAAAUAUCUAGAAUGAAAUAAUACAGUUACAGAUACUGUGUACUCUCUACUUGAUGACUUGAUAAUCCUUCACAUUUAGCCAUUAAAAUAUACACUAAAGGAUGUGGAAUCAACAACACUCGAUUAUAAAAGUCAUAUCUGGAAAAGUUUUCUUCUUCAAUUGUAAAAUCAAGAUGACUGGGGUAAUUCAUAAAAUAAAAAUACCCACAAGAUUAAGCUAAGCAAAAUUGUGAUUCAGUUCUGUAGGCACAUCUCUUUUGAAUUGUAUGAAACACAGCAGACUGAAAAUUCCAAUUGCAUUGCAUUGCAUGCUUUAAGAAAAAGCUGCAGGUCACUGAAGCUCAAAUGUCAAAUUCAUUAUCACCAAGAGUAGUGUGUUCUUCAGAUAUAAGCAGUGUCAUUGCUAGCAAUUUAUAUUUUCAACAUCCUUCAUCUUGAACUAAGUUUCAAAAAAGGACUGAAAUAUUACUUAGAGAACAACCUCUGUUCUUAUAUUAGAAGUGUUUUUCUAGCAAAAGAAAAAUAUAUCAGCCAAUUUCUCUCAUAAAAUCCACAUAAAAAUAAAUAAAUUUGAAUUACAUUUCUGUUACUUAUUCCUAAAUUAUAAUGAGAAUCUAGUGCAUUGGUAUAGCCCAAAGGUGAAUAAUACCUUAUCUUUACAAAUCUUUUGUAUUUAUCAUAAUUAAAAAAAGAAAAGGUGAUUAAAUAAUUCCAAAAUAAGUGAGCUGCUAACUACUAUAAGAAUGCUUUAUUAAUCUUGAAAACUAAGUCUGCCUGGGUCAAAUCAAAGAUGUUUUCAGUGGUGGAUAUUCUGCAUUUUGUAUUUGAAAUUCUGGAAUUUAACUCCUUUAGCAUAUCUGUGUGUCUUUGCUCUAUCUUUUUUAACAAUGCAUGUACAGUAGGCAAGAUAAGUAAGGGAUUAGUAAAGGAUUAAAGGAAAGCCUUUGAUUUAUAUACAGUCUGAACACUGCCUCCACAGUUAAUUUUUUUAAUUUUUGCAUUUUGUUGGAAAGAUAACAAAAGGCAGUACCUGUUUAUUUCCUCCAUCUAAACCAGCACUCCUAUCUUCUCAUUCCACUAAAAAAUGCCCUUUCUAGAUAUUUUAUAAAAAUAAGGAUACUCUCAGCAGCAGCUUUGAUGUGAAGAAUUUAUUUAUUUUCUGUCUUGCUUUUGUUUACAUUGUAAAUUUUAAAAAGUCAUCUGGACCUAUCAAGUUUUCUUUUUUCAAGUGAAUAAAUGAUCAUCUUUUCCUUAAAUACCUAGCAUCUACUGAGCCUGUGAAUGUAGAGAUAAAGACAGAGAAAGAAAGCAUGUAAACCUCUAAUUCUGAGAAGGGCCAUAAAGCCUUCUGGUCACUUAACCUGGAAAUACCAAUUCGCAGCUGGGGUGGGGACUGGACUUUCUCAUGCUCCCUUUUUUUUUGGGCAAGGUUUCUUUCUAAAAACAGAUUCACUUUUUCCCCAUGACAAAUAUGUGAGAAGUAUUGAAGAUAUAAGUACACUUCAUUCAAUCUUGCACUCUUUUACAUUCUCUUUGAAGUCAAUAAAAAGGCUCCACCUUCCUUAGCUACUUCAGGCAUGUUUGCGCCCUCUCACAAAAUACAAUUUAUUUUUGUUUUCUUUGUAACCAUCUAGAGUCCUUAUUAUACCAUGAUGAUAUCUAAAUCAUAUGUAAAUAACUGAGGUCAUGGUCAAAGAUCUAAAGUUUAAACUGGUAAAUUAAUAUAAUGUGUGAAUUUGAGUCUUCAGAAGCCAAUUUGAUUUUUGCUUUUGCUGGGAACAGUGUAAUGAAUUCAUACUGAUACAAACCUGAGCAGUACUAAUUUAACACUUCAUGUCCUCUGCAGCUAUCUAAGAAGGCUGCUUGCAUUUACAGUGCAUCAUCAUUCAACUGCUUAGUACUUAAUUUGGUUUUCUGAAUGAGUACCUGUAUUAGUAGAAUUAUUUCUAAUAAGAUGGAAAGGACUAUAAUUGAAAAUUUAUUUUAAGCAUUAAAUGAUAGAUUGCUCUUUCAAUUUUGUAUUAUAGUAUUUGUAUGCUAUAUUUUGUGGAAAGUUCAUGGAAAACCAUGUGUUUCACAAGUCUAAAGUGCAUUUAAUUUCAGUAAAUUCUUGCAUUUCCUUCUCAUAAAUAAAGAACUCGGUAAGUGAUUGGUAAAGAGCUAGUAAAAUUGCAUAUUAUGAACUGCAAAUUUUGAUAAUUGUGUAGAAAGCAAUCAAAUGGAGCACUAACAUUCUCAUCCCAGUAGUAGAUAUUGAGGACUACAUGUUGAGAUGUUGAGUUAAUGUAUUCUAUAUCUUGUCUUUGGCUUCCUUACACAGCUUCUUUAGCACACAGCUUCAAGCCUUUAGGAUGCAUUCUACCCUCUUUUUGCUUGUCAUCUGUGCCUCAGGAACACACAGCAACCACCAAACCAGACAAAAUCCUCUGGGGCCUCUCCAACCCCCAUCAAGGAGACACAACAGCCAGGCCCUGAAUGUACUCCUUCGGCCACAGAGAAGGCUAGAAACAUAAGGAGAUGUGAUGCAGCAAAAACAGAGGAUAUGACUCCACCAUCAGAAAAAGAGAAGGGAAAAGUACAAAGCCUCAAAAGGGGAAAAAGGAGUUUUCAUUUUGUGUCCAUUAAUCAUUUAGACGUCUGUACAGGUCCACAACACAUACACAAGCAAACCCAUGGAGUGCUGAUUGCAGCAUUUGUUCUUUACAUAUAACCAACCAUUUCUUUGCAAAUUGGUUCUUCUGAUAUAUUUUGCCAUAAAUAAUCUGUUUCUUCUGAGAUAUAUUUUGCCAUAAAUAAUCUGUUUAAAGUAAACAUUAGAUUAACUAUAUGGGCUGUUCACCGCUAUCUUUUUUGUAUAUAGCCAUUGCACAAAGAGAAUUUGAUUGACAAAAUAAAACACUGGUAUAAAACAAGAAGAAAUGCCAUGUCAUAAAUCACAACAGAAAGAAAAGAGAUUAUCAAACAACUAAAUAAUGCAACCCACAGCAAAACAUACCAGUAAAUCAUACAAAGCAGGGUAAAUUAGAUAACACUGUCCAUAUACAAUUACACCAGUUGGCUCCCACAACAGCUUUUAAAUGUGACAUGUUAUUUGACAUGUAUGCAAUUAGGGCUUAAAAUCAAUUUUUUCUAUUCCAUUUAAAAUAAAAAAUGCACUAUUUCCAAAUCAAAUGCUACCUUUUUAGUCAAGAUGGACAAGAAAUAGUAUCAGGUUAGCAGCAGCAUUUCAGCAACAUAAUGCAAGGCAGAAAAGGAUGGCUUCCUUGAAUGCUGUGAAAGACCAGAUCUCAGAUCAUUAUUCAAGCACCCUAUUCAUGCUUUAGUUUAGUAUUCCAACUCUUUCCCCCCCUCUACGGGGCUUAUUGUAAAACCAGGACCCAUUGAAAAGUAAAAACUCUAAUGCAUGAUUAUAUGGAUGACAUAUAAAAUACCAAAGAAGGUUUAGCUCUUUCCAUAUAGAUAUGCACUGUUAGAGAGCCAUAGGCAUCUCUAGUGUUCAGCCCAUGGGAAAGUGAAAGAAUUGACACCCUGGUACAGCACUGAGCACAGAGCUGGGAGGAGGAACAUUGCUGAUGUGAUGUUUCAGGGCUGUCAGAUUCAAAAACCUUCUCUGCCACUGUAGUUUUAUCAGAAAACCCAAAGCAGCAGUGCUUUGCUUCUUUACCCAGUUUAGACAAGCAUUAGAAACAUUGACUGGUUUCAGUGAAAGUUUGAGCACGAAGGUCAUUAGAAACUUGUUCAGUGUUCAGCAUCACUGGGUGAUAAUUGCCAGCUUAGUCCCAUCUUCCUUGUGCUUUUUGACAAUCCACUGACACUUGGGCACAUCAAAUGGCUCCAUGACUCCAGGCUGACAGCUGAGUGACAUGAUAUUACCUGAAGAUUGGACAGACAUGUGGGUGCAGGUAAAUGGUCUAAGUUUCUGGUUUUUCCUCACUUUUACCUGUUGUCUUUCCAGCCAGAGAGAGAACCUUUCACUCUCCAUGUUCACAGUCUGCCUGCAUGGCUCUUAAAAAAAUAGUCUAUUUCCUCCUUCCUGGCUGCUCUUUCUCCUCCCAACUCCACUUCUGCCACAACUGCUGAGACAACCCCUACCUAAGCAGAGGAAGGUGGACAAACAUACUUACAGAAGGAGCUGACAGGAUGUAGCAGACCAUGCAAAAAACAAAGGGAUCUGCAAGGGCUCCUGAGCUUCAAGGAACCACAGACCCAGUUUAGAUCGCAAUCUCUGUGGAGUAUAUAUUGUAGGGGCACAUACAUGGCAUAGCCAUGCAUGCUGUGGCAUGCAGCAGCAAGUUCAACCUGGUGAUAGCUUCUCAUGCUUUCCCAGAGAUGGAUUUGCUGCACAGCCCUGGAGAAGAUAGAUAACUUUGAUCUCAAAUUCUUGAGUUGUAUUUUUCUUCAUUUUUACCUCCCUGGCAGUCAUCUUCCGGCUGGCUUCUCCCUGUUUAUCCAAAGCAGGUUGUGCUGACAAAACAACGAUUCUGACAGUUUGAGGACUCAAUUUGAAUCAUUAGCAUAAAGUCAGCAUCAUUCUCUCUGUCCUCCCUGUAUUUGGCAAAGAAGCCAAACCUUUAUAAUCCCCAAAAGAGAAAGAUUAUUAAAUUAUUCACAAACACAAAAAAUUUUAAAAUAUACAGAUAUUUCCCUUAUACUUAAAAAGACAUACUCCAUAAAGAUCAGCUGUACACUAAUGUUGACAUUUCUUGUACAUUUUUCUGUAGAGAAAAAAUUAUUCAGAAAUGCACACUAUACAUUUUAAAUAAUCCAAUGACUACUUUAAAACUCUCAAAACCAAUAUUAGUUCCUUUACGCAUAAAAAAAUAUUAUUAUUGGAAUAGGAUUAUAUAUGUCCUGGUGCCUCUAUCUCUUUUUUUCUUGCAGUCUAUUUAUUACCCUGAUGGUUUUAAAAAAGGUAAAAAGGAAGUAGUUUACAGCUUCCACACAAUUUUUUUUCCAGGUCAUCAUGAAGCUUUUGACUCAUUUGAGGAAUCAAAUAUAAUAUAUUGUCUCAAAAAGUAAGAUGGUUGCACAAGGUAGAAACCCAGGAAAAUGUUAAACAUCACAAGAAUGUGAUGUUCUUCCCUUUCUGUUUCUGUCCUGCCUCUGAAUAAUGGGGCUGUCUCAUCAGGAACUGGUUUUAUUUUAUGAUCAGGUAUAUAAUACUUGCUUAUUAAAUACAAAUGGAACAAGUUUGAAUUAUACAUAACACCUCUUCACUCGUUUAUUCCUGUAGAGAACAUGAAAUCUCAGGAAACUAUAUUUACUGAAACAAACUGUUCUGCAGUGAUGGCUGUAAUCACAAUUGUACUUUAAGACUAGGUAUUACAGUGGUUUCCUCUACAAUGCUUCUGUGCACUAUCCUGUUGGUAUUAAUGCUGUGCUGUAGAAUCAGACUAAGAGAUAAAAUUAAUUAUAAUGAUGAGUGAUAAAUUAAUUCUUCACUGCCUUUCCUUUGAUUCUAUGUAUGAUUAAAAAAAUACUGCCUUUUCAGAGAAAGCUCUUCCUGUAUAAUUUUUAUAAUUUUCAUUCAGUACAUUUGAUAAGUAAAGGACAAGUAUUCUGGAGAGUCCUCA